GACGAACGCUGGCGGCAUGCCUUACACAUGCAAGUCGAACGGCAGCAUGGAGAGCUUGCUCUAUGAUGGCGAGUGGCGAACGGGUGAGUAAUGCAUCGGAACGUACCGUGUAAUGGGGGAUAACGUAGCGAAAGUUACGCUAAUACCGCAUACGACCUGAGGGUGAAAGCAGGGGAUCGCAAGACCUUGCGUUAUACGAGCGGCCGAUGUCAGAUUAGCUAGUUGGUGAGGUAAAGGCUCACCAAGGCGACGAUCUGUAGCGGGUCUGAGGGGCGGACACGCAACAAGUGGACUGUGGCACGGCCCAGACUCCUACGGGAAGCAGCAGUGGGGAAUGUUGGACAAUGGGGGAAACCCUGAGCCAGCCAUGCCGCGUGAGUGAAGAAGGCCUUCGGGUUGUGAAGUUCUUUCGUCCGGGAAGAAAUCGCACAGGCUAAUACUCUGUGUGGAUGACGGUACCGGCAUAAGAAGCACCGGCUAACUACGUGCCAGCAGCCGCCGUAA
rnacentral:rRNA from 1 species